rnacentral:lncRNA from 1 species
UCCCAUUACUUUAUUUCGUCUAAUUACCCAUUAUUAUCGGAAGGCGGAGAAUAGAUAUUAGAAAGGCUUUCGGAGGAGGAAAUACAAGUUUGGAAAAGUAACCCAGAAACAAAACCACAUAGAAACUCGCCUACUUACAUUUAGGGUACCAUAUCCAUCCAUUCAUUCACUUAAUCAUUCAUUCAUCCCCCUUGGAAGUAAUACAUAUAUAUACCCAAGUUCUUUCUAUUUUUCAGCUCUUUUCCCCAUCCCUCAUUCUCUCUUUCUAUUUUAUUUUGGUUUCUCUCUCCCCCACCUUUGUGUCCCAAUUGGUGUUUUGUUGAAUGAAAUGAUUGGAAGCCCAUUGUGGUAAAGAAGAUUGGGGGCCACGUUGCAGGACUGCAACCCCUCCUUCCAUCCUAGCCACAUUAUUCUCAUUACAUCCAUCCACUCAUGCAUCCAC